rnacentral:tRNA from 1 species
GCCGGAAUAGCUCGGAUAGGAGAGCGUUAGACUGAAUAUCUAAAUGUCCCUGGUUCGAUCCCGGGCUUCGGCA